rnacentral:rRNA from 1 species
AGAGUUUGAUCAUGGCUCAGGACGAACGCUGGCGGCGUGGAUAAGGCAUGCAAGUCAAACGGGUCUGACGCAAGUCGGACCAGUGGCAAACGGGGUAGUAACACGUGGGUACGUACCUUGAAGUCGGGCAUAACCAGCCGAAAGGUUGGAUAAUUUCCGAUAGUUCCCGUAAGGGUAAAGUCGUAAGACGCUUCAAGAAUGGCCUGCGGGCUAUCAGCUAGUUGGUAGGGUAAUGGCCUACCAAGGCUAUGACGGCUAGGGGGGGUGAGAGCCCGAUCCCCACCAAUGGUACUGCGACACGGACCAUACACCUACGGGUGGCAGCAGCCGAGAAUAUUCGACAAUGGG